AUUGAACGCUGGCGGCAGGCCUAACACAUGCAAGUCGAACGAGUGGCGGACGGGUGAGUAAUGUUAGGGAAACUGCCCGAUGGAGGGGGAUAACUACUGGAAACGGUAGCUAAUACCGCAUACCAUCGGAUGUGCCCAGAUGGGUUUAGCUAGUAGGUGGGGUAAUGUCUCACCUAGGCGACGAUCCCUAGCUGGUCUGAGAGGAUGACCGGCCACACUGGAACUGAGACACGGUCCAGACUCCUACGGGAGGCAGCAGUUGGGAAUAUUGCACAAUGGGCGCAAGCCUGAUGCAGCCAUUCCGCGUGUAUGAAUAAGGCCUUCGGGUUGUAAAGUACUUUCAGCGGGGAGGCGUUACCCGCAGAAGAAGCACCGGCUAACUCCGUGCCAGCAGCCGCGGUAAUAC
rnacentral:rRNA from 1 species